rnacentral:rRNA from 1 species
GUUUGAUCCUGGCUCAGGACAAACGCUGGCGGCAAGCCUAACACAUGCAAGUCGAACGAAUAAAUGCCUAUGGUCUUUUGAUCAUAUGUAUUUGUUAGUGGCAGACGGGUGAGUAAUGUGUAGGAAUCUACCUAGUAGUAUGGAAUAGCCAUUAGAAAUGGUGGGUAAUACUGUAUAAUCCCUGAGGGGGAAAGAUUUUAUCGCUAUUAGAUGAGCCUACAUUAGAUUAGCUAGUUGGUAAGGUAAUGGCUUACCAAGGCUAUGAUCUAUAGCUGGUCUGAGAGGACGAUCAGCCACACUGGAACUGAGAUACGGUCCAGACUCCUACGGGAGGCAGCAGUGGGGAAUAUUGGACAAUGGGCGCAAGCCUGAUCCAGCUAUGCCGCGUGAGUGAAGAAGGCCUUCGGGUUGUAAAGCUCUUUCAAUAGGGAAGAUAAUGACGGUACCUAUAGAAGAAGUCCCGGCAAACUCCGUGCCAGCAGCCGCGGUAAUACGGAGGGGGCAAGCGUUGUUCGGAAUUAUUGGGCGUAAAGGGCACGUAGGUGGACUAGUAAGUUAAAAGUGAAAUACCAAAGCUUAACUUUGGAGCUGCUUUUAAUACUGCUAGACUAGAGGUCGAAAGAG